rnacentral:tRNA from 1 species
AGUGUUAUGUUCGAGAUAAAAGAAAUUAAAUUGUAAAUUUAUAUAGGAAAAAUUGAUUUUUCUAACAUUA